rnacentral:rRNA from 1 species
UACGUAGGGUGCAAGCGUUGUCCGGAAUUAUUGGGCGUAAGGAGCUCGUAGGCGGUUUGUCGCGUCGAAUGUGAAAACCCGGGGCUCAACCCCGGGCCUGCAUUCGAUACGGGCAGACUAGAGUUCGGUAGGGGAGUCUGGAAUUCCUGGUGUAGCGGUGAAAUGCGCAGAUAUCAGGAGGAACACCGGUGGCGAAGGCGGGACUCUGGGCCGAUACUGACGCUGAGGAGCGAAAGCCAGGGGAGCGAACGGG